GAAGGAGGAGCUUGCUUCUCUGGAUGAGUUGCGAACGGGUGAGUAACGCGUAGGUAACCUGCCUGGUAGCGGGGGAUAACUAUUGGAAACGAUAGCUAAUACCGCAUAAUAGUAGAUGUUGCAUGACAUUUGCUUAAAAGGUGCAAUUGCAUCACUACCAGAUGGACCUGCGUUGUAUUAGCUAGUUGGUGGGGUAACGGCUCACCAAGGCGACGAUACAUAGCCGACCUGAGAGGGUGAUCGGCCACACUGGGACUGAGACACGGACCAGACUCCUACGGGAGGCAGCAGUAGGGAAUCUUCGGCAAUGGACGGAAGUCUGACCGAGCAACGCCGCGUGAGUGAAGAAGGUUUUCGGAUCGUAAAGCUCUGUUGUAAGAGUAGAACGAGUUGUGAGAGUGGAAAGGUCACACUGUGACGGUAUCUUACCAGAAAGGGACGGCUGAACUACGUGCCAGCAGCCGCGGUAAUACGUAGGUCCCGAGCGUUGUCCGGAUUUAUUGGGCGUAAAGCGAGCGCAGGCGGUUAGAUAAGUCUGAAGUUAAAGGCUGUGGCUUAACCAUAGUACGCUUUGGAAACUGUUUAACUUGAGUGCAAGAGGGGAGGGUGGAAUUCCAUGUGUAGCUGGUGAAAUGCGUAGA
rnacentral:rRNA from 1 species